UAGCGUAGGGGCCGGAGCGUUGUCCGGAGUUAUUGGGCGUAAAGCGCGCGCAGGCGGCCUCGCGACGCCGACGUGAAAGCCCCCGGCUUAACCGGGGAGGGUCGUUGGGGACGGCGGGGCUUGAGGGCGGGAGAGGUCGGUGGAAGUCUGGUGUAGCGGUGAAAUGCGUUGAUAUCGGAAGGAACGCCGGUGGCGAAAGCGCGAGCGACUGGACCUCUUCGUGACGGCUG
rnacentral:rRNA from 1 species